rnacentral:rRNA from 1 species
CUACGGAGGGUGCAAGCGUUGUCCGGAUUUAUUGGGUUUAAAGGGUGCGUAGGUGGUUUUUUAAGUCAGUGGUGAAAGCCUACAGCUUAACUGUAGAGGUGCCAUUGAAACUGGGAAACUUGAGUAUGGGCGAGGUAGGCGGAAUUUGUGGUGUAGCGGUGAAAUGCAUAGAUACCACAAAGAACACCGAUAGCGAAGGCAGCUUACUAGGCCAUAACUGACACUGAGGCACGAAAGUGUGGGGAGCGAACAGGAUUAGAAACCCUAGUAGUCC